GCAGUCGAGGGGUAUAGGAAGCUUGCUUCCUAGAGACCGGCGCACGGGUGCGUAACGCGUAUGCAAUCUACCUUUUGCAGAGGGAUAGCCCAGAGAAAUUUGGAUUAAUACCUCAUAGUAUGUGAGAAUGGCAUCAUUUUCACAUUAAAGUCACAACGGCAAAAGAUGAGCAUGCGUCCCAUUAGCUAGUUGGUAAGGUAACGGCUUACCAAGGCAACGAUGGGUAGGGGUCCUGAGAGGGAGAUCCCCCACACUGGUACUGAGACACGGACCAGACUCCUACGGGAGGCAGCAGUGAGGAAUAUUGGACAAUGGGCGCAAGCCUGAUCCAGCCAUGCCGCGUGCAGGAUGACGGUCCUAUGGAUUGUAAACUGCUUUUGUACAGGAAGAAACACUGGUUCGUGAACCAGCUUGACGGUACUGUAAGAAUAAGGAUCGGCUAACUCCGUGCCAGCAGCCGCGGUAAUACGGAGGAUCCAAGCGUUAUCCGGAAUCAUUGGGUUUAAAGGGUCCGUAGGCGGUUUAGUAAGUCAGUGGUGAAAGCCCAUCGCUCAACGGUGGAACGGCCAUUGAUACUGCUAGACUUGAAUUAUUAGGAAGUAACUAGAAUAUGUAGUGUAGCGGUGAAAUGCUUAGAGAUUACAUGGAAUACCAAUUGCGAAGGCAGGUUACUACUAAUGGAUUGACGCUGAUGGACGAAAGCGUGGGUAGCGAACAGGAUUAGAUAC
rnacentral:rRNA from 1 species